rnacentral:rRNA from 1 species
CGGACGGGUGAGUAAUGUCUGGGAAACGUGCCUGAUGGAGGGGGAUAACUACUGGAAACGGUAGCUAAUACCGCAUAACGUCGCAAGACCAAGAGGGGGACCUUCGGGCCUCUUGCCAUCGGAUGUGCCCAGAUGGGAUUAGCUAGUAGGUGGGGUAACGGCUCACCUAGGCGACGAUCCCUAGCUGGUCUGAGAGGAUGACCAGCCACACUGGAACUGAGACACGGUCCAG